rnacentral:rRNA from 1 species
CAGCCGCCGCGGGAAUACGUAGGUGGCAAGCGUUGUCCGGAAUUAUUAGGCGUAAAGGGCUCGCAGGCGGUUUCUUAAGUCUGAUGUGAAAGCCCCCGGCUCAACCGGGGAGGGUCAUUGGAAACUGGGAAACUUGAGUGCAGAAGAGGAGAGUGGAAUUCCACGUGUAGCGGUGAAACGCGUAGAGAUGUGGAGGAACACCAGUGGCGAAGGCGACUCUCUGGUCUGUAACUGACGCUGAGGAGCGAAAGCGUGGGGAGCGAACAGGAUUAGAUACCCGGGUAGUCCCUGUCUCUUAUAC